GGGGCUGUAGCUCAGUUGGGAGAGCGCAAGAAUCGCACUCUUGAGGUCGCAGGUUCGAUCCCUGUCAGCUCCA
rnacentral:tRNA from 1 species